CCAGUUGCGGCGUUGCCUAUACAUGCAAGUCGAGCGGACCGACGGGAGCUUGCUCCCUUAGGUCAGCGGCGGACGGGUGAGUAACACGUGGGUAACCUGCCUGUAAGACUGGGAUAACUCCGGGAAACCGGGGCUAAUACCGGAUGCUUGAUUGAACCGCAUGGUUCAAUCAUAAAAGGGGGCUUUUAGCUACCACUUACAGAUGGACCCGCGGCGCAUUAGCUAGUUGGUGAGGUAACGGCUCACCAAGGCGACGAUGCGUACCCGACCUGAAAGGGUGAUCGGCCACACUGGGACUGAAACACGGCCCAAACUCCUACGGGAGGCAGCAGUAGGGAAUCUUCCGCAAUGGACGAAAGUCUGACGGAGCAACGCCGCGUGAGUGAUGAAGGUUUUCGGAUCGUAAAACUCUGUUGUUAGGGAAAAACAAGUACCGUUCGAAUAGGGCGGUACCUUGACGGUACCUAACCAAAAAGCCACGGCUAACUACGUGCCAGCAGCCGCGGUAAUACGUAGGGGGCAAGCGUUGUCCGGAAUUAUUGGGCGUAAAGCGCGCGCAGGCGGUUUCUUAAGUCUGAUGUGAAAGCCCCCGGCUCAACCGGGGAGGGUCAUUGGAAACUGGGGAACUUGAGUGCAGAAGAGGAGAGUGGAAUUCCACGUGUAGCGGUGAAAUGCGUAGAGAUGUGGAGGAACACCAGUGGCGAAGGCGACUCUCUGGUCUGUAACUGACGCUGAGGCGCGAAAGCGGGGGGGAGCGAAC
rnacentral:rRNA from 1 species